rnacentral:rRNA from 1 species
UACGUAGGCAGCAAGCGUUGUUCGGAGUUACUAGGCGUAAAGGGCAGGUAGGUGGUUUAGUAAGUCUAUUGUGAAAGCUCCCGGCUUAACUGGGAGAGGUCAAUAGAUACUGCUGGACUUGAGUAUAGGAGAGGUUACUGGAAUUCCCGGUGUAGCGGUGAAAUGCGCAGAGAUCGGGAGGAACACCAAUGGCGAAAGCAGGUAACUGGACUAUUACUGACGCUAAGCUGCGAAAGCUAGGGGAGCAAACAGG